rnacentral:rRNA from 1 species
GAUGAACGCUAGCGGGAGGCCUAACACAUGCAAGCCGAACGGUAGAUUUUCUUCGGAAACUUGAGAGCGGCGCACGGGUGCGUAACACGUGUGCAACCUACCUUUAUCUGGGGGAUAGCCUUUCUAAAGGAAGAUUAAUACCCCAUAAUAUAAUGAUUGGCAUCAAUUAUUAUUAAAAACUCCGGUGGAUAGAGAUGGGCACGGGCAAGAUUAGAUAGUUGGUGAGGUAACGGCUCACCAAGUCAAUGAUCUUUAGGGGUCCUGAGAGGGAGAUCCCCUAGACUGGUAACGCGACACGGACCAGAAUCGUACGGGAGGCAGCAGAGAGGAGUAUUAGACAAGGGAGGAGAGCCUGAUCCAGCCAUCCCGCGUGAAGAAUGACGGUCCUAUGGAUUGUAAACUUCUUGUGUACAGAGAUAAACGUACCCUCGUGAGGGUAGCUGAAGGUACUGUACGAAUAAGCACCGGCUAACUCCGUG